GGGCUCACACAAGCGGUGGAGGAUGUGGCUUAAUUCGAGGCUACGCGAAGAACCUUAUCCUAGUCUUGACAUGCACGGAUCAAGUCGUCGAAAGGCGACCCACGCCCGCAAGGGUGGAACGUGCACAGGUGCUGCAUGGCUGUCGUCAGCUCGUGUCGUGAGAUGUCGGGUUAAGUCCCUUAACGAGCGAAACCCUUGUCGCUAGUUGCCAGCGAGUCAUGUCGGGGACUCUAGCGAGACCGCCGGUGUUAAACCGGAGGAAGGUGGGGAUGACGUCAAGUCCUCAUGGCCUUUAUGACUAGGGCUGCACACGUCCUACAAUGCUGCGUACAAAGGGAAGCAAGCUCGCGAGAGCAAGCAAAUCCCAAAAAACGCAGCUCAGUUCGGAUUGCAGGCUGCAACCCGCCUGCAUGAAGCCGGAAUCGCUAGUAAUCGUAGGUCAGCAUACUACGGUGAAUGUGUUCCUGAGCCUU
rnacentral:rRNA from 1 species